CGCACCUUGCACCCUCUGGUAUUCCGGAGGGUAUGCCCGGUUGAGUAUUAUAAUCGACUCAAGCCCCUCGGUUUCUAAUUUGCAAAGGUUGAAUGACCGACGAAACCGUCUAUUGGGACGGCGGUAGUUGGAGUUUGACUUGGAAUCCGGAUGGCCGUUGGACUUGAGCGCAUGUCGGUUUCACUUAGAGAUCGACUCGCCUUGGAAAUGUAUUAGCUAGGCGACCCGACUAACGGUUUCACUCGACGUAGUAACGCCGUUUAUUUCGUUGAGGACAUCUUUUCUUAAGGUGACCGGUAGACAACGGGUGUUGGAGCCGCUUCUAAUUGUCUUAGGACAAGCGACCGAAAGUCUAAUCUCAACUCGGGUAGGAUUACCCGCUGAAACUUAA
rnacentral:rRNA from 1 species